rnacentral:tRNA from 1 species
UGUCCCAUGGUGUAAUGGUAGCACAGCAGAUUUUGGUUCUGUUAGUCUGGGUUCGAAUCCUUGUGGGACAA